rnacentral:rRNA from 1 species
GACGAACGCUGGCGGCGUGCUUAACACAUGCAAGUCGAACGGAAAGGCCCCUUUGGGGGUACUCGAGUGGCGAACGGGUGAGUAACACGUGAGUAACCUGCCCUUGUCUUCGGGAUAACUUCAGGAAACUGGGGCUAAUACCGGAUAGGAAUCCUUGCUGCAUGGUGGGGGUUGGAAAGCUUCGGCGGUGUUGGAUGGACUCGCGGCUUAUCAGCUUGUUGGUGGGGUAGUGGCUUACCAAGGCUUUGACGGGUAGCCGGCCUGAGAGGGCGACCGGCCACAUUGGGACUGAGAUACGGCCCAGACUCCUACGGGAGGCAGCAGUGGGGAAUAUUGCACAAUGGGCGGAAGCCUGAUGCAGCAACGCCGCGUGCGGGAUGACGGCCUUCGGGUUGUAAACCGCUUUCAGCAGGGGCGAAGCUUGUGGUGACGGUACCUGCAGAAGAAGCACCGGCUAACUACGUG